AGUUAAAUUUGAAUUUCAGACACGCAAUGCAAUAAUACAUUUUAGUAUAAAUCUGUCCCAUGUAAUAUUUGGGACAUACUUGUACUAAAAAAAUUCAUUCUUUAUGUGAAAUUCAGAUGUGAUU
rnacentral:miRNA from 1 species